rnacentral:rRNA from 1 species
AAUAGCGUAUAUUAAAGUUGUUGCGGUUAAAAAGCUCGUAGUUGGAUUUCAGUUCAUGCUAUGUGGUCCUCUUGCAGGAGGUUACUACAUAGCUGAACAUUUUACAGACCUGUCUUACGAUGCUCUUAAUCGGGUGUCGUGAGCGAUCUGUACGUUUACUUUGAAAAAAUUAAAGUGCUUAAAGCAGGCGUUAUGCCUGAAUAAUCUUGCAUGGAAUAAUGGAAUAGGACUUCGGUUCUAUUUUGUUGGUCUUCGGAAUCUGAGGUAAUGAUUAAGAGGGACAGACGGGGGCAUUCGUAUUGCGGCGCUAGAGGUGAAAUUCUUGGACCGUCGCAAGACGAACUACAGCGAAAGCAUUUGCCAAGAAUGUUU